GUUAUUGAAGAACAUACAAACCGAGAUGGAGCACUUAGCAAACGAAUUCAGAGGAAGAUUUCAGAUACAGGCGGACUUGAAGGAAGAAUUCAAUGGUGGAGUUGCUCCUUUCAGAUUAAUUUACACCACAGCAUCCCCCAGGGGGGCCGACAGACUGAUGGAUGGCAAUGCCUGCUGGGUGUGCAGUCACAUAAAUGCUGUCCUGAACU